ACUGCCCAACCGCCCAUACAUCACAAUACAUACACUCAUACACAGCCCAACUGCCCAUAAAUCACAAUACAUACACUCACACACUCAUACACAGCCCAACUGCCCAUACAUCACAAUACAUACACUCACACACUCAUACACAGCCCAACUGCCCAUAAAUCACAAUACAUACACUCACACACUCAUACACAGCCCAACUGCCC